UUCUUCCGCGACAGACAGGAAUCGGGGUCUGUCAUGUCGUCCAACCCUGACAUGUAAUCUGGUGUACCGUCGAGCAGCUCCCCCUAUGGGUGCAAAACACAAAACACACAAACACGAAAUAAGAACGAGAAAAACAAGUGUGAUUCCUGACAGCUGAGAUACUUCAGACUCUGCAGAGAGACGGAACAAAAUCUUGUAGAAAAUUAACAAUUAUGAAGGGUUAAAGAAAGAAUGAAAGAAAAGUAUGACAAAACUGGAGACUGAGUUAUGGAAGAGGAAAAGAGGGACUGAGUUAUGGAAGAGGAAAAGAGGGAUUAUGUUAUGGAAGAGGAAAAGAGGGAUUAUUUAUGGAAGAGGAAAAGAUGGAUUGAGCUGUGGGACAGACUGAGAUAUGGAAGAGGAAAAGAGGGAUUGAGCUACGGAAGAUGAAAACAGGUACUGAGUUAUGGAACAGGAAAAGAUGGAUUGAGCUGUGGAUGGAGAAAAUAGGGAUUGACCUGAGAAACAGGCAAAGACAUUGAGAUACAGAAGAGGAAAAGAGGGAAUGUGAUAAGGAAUAGGAAAAGAUGUAUGGAAGAGGAUAAGAGGGACUGAACUAUGGAAGAGGAAAAGAGGGACUGAGUUAUGGAAGAGGAAAGGAUGCAUUGAACUAUGGAAGAUGAAAAGAUGG